rnacentral:tRNA from 1 species
GCCGCUAUGGUGGAAUGGUAGACACAUGACAUUCAAAAUGUCACGUUUUUUAAGACAUGUCGGUUCAAGUCCGACUAGCGGUA